AAUUAAACUUAAUAUAUGCUUUCAUUAGAUAUAUUAGAAUGACCCAUAAAUAAACACAUUUUCUUUUGAUAUAAAUUUAAAAAAAUAAAUGUUUACCUUUGACUAACAAUUAAAACACGUCUACUACAUGUUUGACAAUAAUACAUAUUAUCAUAAGGAAUCACUUUGGUAUUGCAUACACAGGAUAAAUACCACCAAUCGCAGUUAGGUUCCAAAUGUUCUACUUUGCCCAAUAUAACGGACAUCGACCCCUGCAAUAUUUAAUUGUGACAACUUAG
rnacentral:lncRNA from 1 species